UAAAUUAUUAACACGCUGGUCUGCUGCUUAAAAAUAUAUUAUCUAUCUAUACUGGUUGAAGGUGUGUAGUCUGCAGCUGCAAAAGAGGUAGCUCUGAUCUACUCAAACCUGUGGGCAUGAGAUGGAAAGACUGGGUAAUCUGCCAAAGGGGAAAAGAGAUUAAAAUGCAAAUAGCCAAGUUAUGGAAUAUAGAAAAAUCAAGAUAUGGCAUGCUCUGAUUUUUUUGUUUUCACAGUUUAAAGGUGAGAACUAAUAGCCUUGAAUCUCUAUGUUAAAUCUGAGGAAGAGUGUCCAAAGAAGAGCAAUGAAGCUGGUUAAAGGUCCUGAGAACAACUCUGGUGAGGAGCAGAAACCAGAGAGGUGCAGCCGGGCGGGCAGGAGGAGACCAAGCGGAGCUCUGGGUCAGGAACCGCCCCAGCACGCAGCGGGACUUACCAUGCCGGGCGGUGCGAGGUCUGAGAGCGGCGGAUGCUCAAGCGGGUGGCAGCGCUGGGUGACCGGAGGCCGGACCCGAGGAUGCCGCCCACACCCACGGCACCGGAGUGGCCCCGGAGCGAGGAGUGCGGGGCGCGGAGCAUCCCGGCGAGGCUCAGGCUCCAGAACAUCCCUGACCUGCCCUGCCCUGCAGAACCCAGCCCAGUCCGUCCGCAUGCCCUGUUCGGGCGGUAAUCCCGCCUCUCCGGUCCAGCGGCAGCUCGGCCGGUCCCGGGCUACAGCCCAGGCUGCCUCCAAGCUUAACCACUUUAAACAGCUCGUCUGCAUCGUGAGCACCGGGUCCAGUAACUCUUCUAAUCUAAUCUAAUCUAAUCUAAUCUAAUCUAAUCUAAUCUAAUCUAAUCUAAUCUAAAUCUAAUCUAAUCUAGCUAUCUGAUCUAAUCGCCUUUUUCCGUGUAGUCUUCUGUAGUAAAAUUCUAAGUGUUCACAAGGCAAACUGAAACGUAAACUCAUAAAGCUACUCACAAAGCGUUUAUCUGAAACUAUGCUGUCCAUGGAUUGCUAACACCUGUCAUAUGCUAUACUCUGUGCUUGUGCAACAUUCCCUUUUUGAGGGAUCUGGCUGCAUAGCCAUCCGGAUUGCCCAAUACGUAUUUGUCAUGAUUAAAAGUGAGCCCAAUUUUACAGGGCAUUGUGAAGUAAAAGGUCCAUUAAAAUAAAAAGGAAAUACAUUGUUAAUGAAGAUGUGGA
ensembl:lncRNA